UACGUAGGGGGCAAGCGUUGUCCGGAAUCAUUGGGCGUAAAGCGCGUGUAGGCGGCCAGGUAAGUCCGUUCUGAAAGCCCGGGGCUCAACCCCGGGAGGCGGAUGGAUACUGCUUGGCUCGAGUCCGGAAGAGGCGAGUGGAAUUCCUGGUGUAGCGGUGAAAUGCGUAGAUAUCAGGAGGAAUACCGGUGGCGAAAGCGACUCUCUGGACGGCAACUGACGCUGAGGCACGAAAGCGUGGGGAGCAAACAGG
rnacentral:rRNA from 1 species